GGAGUUUCGAGCCUCUGCCACAUUCGAGAGGGAGGUCACUGACAUCAUCACCACUACCUUUGUCUUUGAUUUUGAGGACUGUAAGGCCCACCUAUGGUGGAUGACGCUGUAGUUGGACCUCCACCACCUUCAACCAAGAAAUAUUGAUAAGGAGGUGGGGGCCUUCUCCUCAAAUGAGGAUUGAGCCCCCUCAUCCUUUCUUAUA
rnacentral:lncRNA from 1 species